rnacentral:rRNA from 1 species
UCCGUAGGCGGGAAUCUAAGUCAGUGGUGAAAUCUUACAGCUCAACUGUAAAAUUGCCAUUGAUACUGGAUUUCUUGAAUUAGUGUGAAGUGGUUAGAGUGUGUAGUGUAGCGGUGAAAUGCAUAGAUAUUACACAGAAUACCAAUUGCGAAGGCAGAUCACUAACACUAUAUUGACGCUGAGGGACGAAAGCGUGGGGAGCGAACAGGAUUAGAUACCCUGGUAGUC